UGCGAACAUCCUAUCAGUCAGGUCUUUCUC
rnacentral:piRNA from 1 species